rnacentral:rRNA from 1 species
UGGCACCAAGAGCCGAUGAAGGACGUUGUAACCUGCGAUAAGCCCUGGGGGAGCUGGUAAAACGAGCUUUGAUCCUGGGAUCUCCGAAUAGGGAAACCUCGAAUUUCCGGAGUCAUGUCCGGCGACCUCUGCCUGAAUGUAUAGGGCAGUUGGAGGGAACGUGGGGAAGUGAAACAUCUCAGUACCCACAGGAAGAGAAAACAAUAGUGAUUCCGUAAGUAGUGGCGAGUCGAACGCGGAACAGGCCAAACCAUGUGUGUGUGAUAGCUGACAGGCGUUGCACAUGUGGUGUUGUGGGGCCGCCUGGGUUGGGCUGUUGACCAGCCGGGGAGUCAUAAAUGGUUGAUGAAGUUGAAGUGUCUGGAAAGACAUAGCGUAGAGGGGUAAUACUCCUGUAGACGUAAGUUGACCACUCCCUUGGCGUGUCCCCAAGUAGUACGGGACCCCUGAAAUCUCGUGUGAAUCUGGCGGGACCAUCCGCUAAGCCUAAAUACUCCUUGGUGACCGGAUAGUGAAUAAGUACCGUGAGG